rnacentral:lncRNA from 1 species
CAACUUCACCAAGAGUUGCCUCCCCAAAAGCCGUUCCUCCAAAGCCGCCUUCUCCAAGAGCAGACCCACUAAGAUUGGAUACUCCAAGACCACCUUCGCCAAAGCCUCCUUCCCCAAGGGAUGCUUCUCCAAGAACAGACACAUCAAGGUUGAAUACACCAAGACCUCCUUCUCCAAGAGAAGCUUCUCCAAGAGCAGACCCACCAAAGUUGGAUACUCCAAGACCUCCUUCCCCAAAGCCUCCUUCUCCAAGAGCAGAACCACCAAGAUUGGAUGCUCCAAGACCUACAACGCCUAAGCCCCCUUCUCCAAGAGCGGUUUCGCCUAGGGC